rnacentral:misc_RNA from 1 species
AAAAAAUAAAUUUGAUAUGUUUUAGGUAUAAUGAUACUGAAAUACAAAACAGUUUUUUCAAAUUAAUUUUUUUAAUAGCAUUUAAAAAAAAUUUUGAAAAGUGUUUUUUAUACUAAAACUCAAUGCCAAACAGGGUCAAAGACUUCUUUUCGCAAGGGUUGAAUUAAGAGGGUUUCUGAAAAUACAGCGAGUGGGUCCAACAGUUGGUCCAAUGGUCUGUGGUACAUUCAUAUGCUAUGGCUCUUGUUGAUUAUGCCAUUUGCAAGAAAACUUGAACCAUCAUCAGAAUUGCAUGCUUAGACAUCGGAAGUUAACCAGGAAACAAUAUUUUCCUAUUCUUGUAAUGUAUUAUUAUUAUUAUAAUUACUUCAAAAAUUUUGACAGGUUUUCAUUGGAAUAGUUUGAUGGGGCUCAUGUAUUUUCUGUGCUAGAACUUGUCUGAGGGACUGUGGUGGAAGGAUAUAAUACUCCUGACCAUAGUCCUUAAGAUUUUCUGGGCUGCAUUUAUGGUAACACUAUUGUGCUCGGAUGUUUUGAAGGAGUAAAAUAUUUUUGGUGUGGCUUCAAAUAUGAGAACGUGCCCCAAUGAUGAAUUUUUUAUUUGAAUAAAGCUCCAUUUGUUUCUUAUAUUUAUUA